AAUGAAUUGCUGUAAAAAUUACAGCCAUAUUUUACAGCCGCUGGCUGUUUUCUAAUAAUACAGCAUUUUGCUGUAAACUGCAAUGCAUUCUGGGGCCGCGUGGCGGUUUGAUUCAAAAUACAGAAUAUUGCUGUAAAUUUCAAAUCGACACAGAGGCAUUGUGAUCUUCAACGGUCGUGUCGUCGACUUUCGGAUAGCGGCAAGAGGAGUGAUUCUCAACUGGAGACACUUUGACAAGAGGACACUGGAAGGCCAAGUUGUGUGUGAGGAGAGCAUUCAGCCCAGCUUCCUGUCUGGCCUUGCUACUGUUCACUGCAUAUUAUUACAUAUUCAAUCAGGAGGAGCCAGCCUGCACCUUGGAGUUCAUUUAAAGAGAGGAACAAAGAAGAAAAUUGCCAUCUAAAAGGACAGGGCAAAUGGUACAGAAGAAACAGGUUGCAGUGAACCCACAUGUUGCCACUCUUCCCUGCAAAGUGGUGUAUUCAGUGGAAUUUCUGAAAUCCACUCUUUGCAUCCUGUGAUGGAACAGCAUCCGGAGCUGAAUUAUUCUCCAUUUUUGAUCAUACGUGUUUUGGACUCACUUGGGGCCUUGUUGUUUGGACAUGUUUGUCUGGGAACGAAGAGGUGACAAUUCAUUCAUGUC